GUAGCGUUGAAACACCUGUUUCCGUACGACCACCGAAGUUAAGCAUCAUCAAGCUUGGUCAGUACCCUGAUGGGUGACCUCUUGGGAAUACCAAGU